UUUCCCUCUUUCACUCACCCCCGGACGCUUGUUGUCGGUGGCUUCUCCAUUUGAGAGAAGCUCCCGAUUCUCUUUUCUCCUGUUUUGAGAGGGGUUCCUGUUUUUGUAGCUUCCUGUUUUUGUUCCCCUUGGUUUCUUGUUCCGGUGGAGGUGGUUAUUUCAUCUAGCUUGUGAGCUAUGAUGAGUUGAUGUUUCAUCUAGUCUUUGGGCUAUGAUGUUUGAUGCCAGAUCUACGCUUGCUCGGUGCUUUCCGCUUGACACGCGCCUUUUGGCCGGAAUGUCCGUCGCUGUCCGCUCCUGCUGCCGGUCGCACAGGUCACGCCGGUUGCCGGAGCUCGGAGCGUGGCCUGCACGCGCCAGAGGGGUUUCUGCCGUUCGGCGCGCGUGACGGCCACGUUUCGCCAUUUUCUGGUCUUGCACGGUGGGGAGGGGGCUUCCGGGGGUGUCUCUUCGGCUGGGUGGUACCGGGCCGGUGCGUGUUUUCACGCGCCGCCGGUAUUGGCGAAAUCCGCCUUCCUUCUGCCGGCUCUGGGAUAGGGAUUGGACAAUUUUUGCUCCAGCAACUCAGUGGUAUCAAUGGUGUUUCUAUCAAUUUUUGCUCAAGUUCUUCACUGGCAACGUGCAAGUUCUCCAAUGAUGUGAUUUAAACAAGAUCAAGAAGCCAAGAGAUAUAGUUGGGACAAACAAUUUUUUUGAUUGGUUUAGUUGCUACCAGUUUCCACAUUUUAGAGUAAUGCUGAUAGCUUGAUAUUUUUGGUGUAACUGAUAGAUUUAGUUGUUGUUGAUUAGUUUGGUUGUUUGCUGGUUUUGUCCAGUUGGUUGUUGGUUUUUGUUUCGGUUUUGAGCUAGAUUGCUCAUUAGUUUUGUUGGUUUGAACAAUUUUGUACAAUUGCUUUGAUUUCAAUAUACAAUGUUGCCUUAUUUCAAGCUUA